rnacentral:tmRNA from 1 species
UUAUGGAACUGGUGGGAUUCGAACCCACGUCCAUAAUAAUUCAGUUUGAUAAGUCGACAAUUAUCAAAUUAUUGAUUAAGUCAAGAGAAAAAAUAAUAAAUAAAUUGAAACUUAGCUUAAACUAUAGAUUUAAGAGCAUCUAGUUUAAUAACCAAUCAAGACACAUACUAGAAUUUAUAUCUUGAUAACUCCAAAAAAUCAUAUUGUCUUAAUAUUUAUAUCAAGCUAAAAUAAUCUUUCUAGAGAAUGGUAAAAUUUGAUGUUUUGCAAUUGUUUUUCAGCUAGGAUUAAUGAAGUUUAGCCUACCUUCAUUCUCUAAAUCUUAUGCAUACGGAAUUAUAUGUAGAAACCUAACAGCCCC